rnacentral:rRNA from 1 species
AUUGAACGCUGGCGGCAUGCCUUACACAUGCAAGUCGAACGGCAGCACGGGUGCUUGCACCUGGUGGCGAGUGGCGAACGGGUGAGUAACACAUCGGAACGUACCUUAUCGUGGGGGAUAACGCAGCGAAAGCUGUGCUAAUACCGCAUACGCCCUGAGGGGGAAAGCGGGGGAUCGAAAGACCUCGCGCGAUUAGAGCGGCCGAUGCCUGAUUAGCUUGUUGGUGGGGUAAAAGCCCACCAAGGCGACGAUCAGUAGCUGGUCUGAGAGGACGAUCAGCCACACUGGGACUGAGACACGGCCCAGACUCCUACGGGAGGCAGCAGUGGGGAAUUUUGGACAAUGGGGGCAACCCUGAUCCAGCAAUGCCGCGUGAGUGAAGAAGGCCUUCGGGUUGUAAAACUCUUUUGUCAGGGAAGAAACACCGGCUCUAACACAGUCCGGGAAUGACGGUACCUGAAGAAUAAGCACCGGCUAACUACGUGCCAGCCGCCGCCGUAA